rnacentral:rRNA from 1 species
UACGAAGGGGGCUAGCGUUGCUCGGAAUCACUGGGCGUAAAGGGUGCGUAGGCGGGUCUUUAAGUCAGGGGUGAAAUCCUGGAGCUCAACUCCAGAACUGCCUUUGAUACUGAGGAUCUUGAGUUCGGGAGAGGUGAGUGGAACUGCGAGUGUAGAGGUGAAAUUCGUAGAUAUUCGCAAGAACACCAGUGGCGAAGGCGGCUCACUGGUCCAUUACUGACGCUGAGGUGCGAAAGCGUGGGGGGCAAACAGG